rnacentral:rRNA from 1 species
AAAGGUAAGCUACUAAGAGCGAAUGGUGGAUGCCUUGACUGGUAAAGGCGAUGAAGGACGUACUAGACUGCGAUAAGCUACGGGGAGCUGUCAAGAAGCUUUGAUCCGUAGAUUUCCGAAUGGGGCAACCCAAUGUAUAGAGAUAUACAUUACCUAUAUAGGAGCGAACGAGGGGAAUUGAAACAUCUUAGUACCCUCAGGAAAAGAAAUCAAUAGAGAUUGUGUCAGUAGCGGCGAGCGAAAGCGCAAGAGGGCAAACCCAGUGCUUGCACUGGGGGUUGUAGGACUGCAAUGUGCAAGAGCUGAGUUUAGCAGAACAUUCUGGAAAGUAUAGCCAUAGAGGGUGAUAGUCCCGUAUGCGAAAAACAAAGCUUAGCUAGCAGUAUCCUGAGUAGGGCGGGACACGAGGAAUCCUGUCUGAAUCCGGGUCGACCACGAUCCAACCCUAAAUACUAAUACCAGAUCGAUAGUGCACAAGUACCGUGAGGGAAAGGUGAAAAGAACUGAGGUGAUCAGAGUGAAAUAGAACCUGAAACCAUUUGCUUACAAUCAUUCAGAGCACUAUGUAGCAAUACAGUGUGAUGGACUGCCUUUUGCAUAAUGAGCCUGCGAGUUGUGGUGUCUGGCAAGGUUAAGCAAACGCGAAGCCGUAGCGAAAGCGAGUCUGAAUAGGGCGCUUAGUCAGAUGCUGCAGACCCGAAACGAAGUGAUCUAUCCAUGAGCAAGUUGAAGCUAGUGUAAGAACUAGUGGAGGACUGAACCCAUAGGCGUUGAAAAGCCCCGGGAUGACUUGUGGAUAGGGGUGAAAGGCCAAUCAAACUUCGUGAUAGCUGGUUCUCUCCGAAAUAUAUUUAGGUAUAGCG